rnacentral:tRNA from 5 species
GCGCUUGUAGCUCAGUUGGAUAGAGCAACGGACUUCUAAUCCGUAGGUCGCGGGUUCGAAUCCUGCCAAGCGCGCCA